rnacentral:rRNA from 1 species
GUGUCAGCAGCCGCGGUAAUACGUAGGUGGCAAGCGUUGUCCGGAUUUAUUGGGUUUAAAGGGUGCGUAGGCGGUUUUCUAAGUCAGCAGUGAAAUACGGCAGCUCAACUGUCGAGGUGCUGUUGAUACUGGGGAACUUGAGUACUGAUGAGGUAGGCGGAAUGGACGGUGUAGCGGUGAAAUGCUUAGAGAUCGUCCAGAACACCGAUAGCGAAGGCAGCUUACUAAGGAGUAACUGACGCUGAGGCACGAAAGUGUGGGGAUCAAACAGGAUUAGAAACCCUAGUAGUCC